rnacentral:rRNA from 1 species
AAUGAACGCUGGCGGCAGGCCUAACACAUGCAAGUCGAACGGAUCCUUCGGGAUUAGUGGCGGACGGGUGAGUAACGCGUGGGAACAUACCCAAAGGUACGGAAUAGCCUCGGGAAACUGGGAGUAAUACCGCAUGUGCUCGAAAGAGGAAAGAUUUACCGCCUUUGGAUUGGCCCGCGUUGGAUUAGGUAGUUGGUGGGGUAAUGGCCUACCAAGCCGACGAUCCAUAGCUGGUUUGAGAGGAUGAUCAGCCACACUGGGACUGAGACACGGCCCAGACUCCUACGGGAGGCAGCAGUGGGGAAUCUUAGACAAUGGGGGAAACCCUGAUCUAGCCAUGCCGCGUGAUCGAUGAAGGCCUUAGGGUUGUAAAGAUCUUUCAGGUGGGAAGAUAAUGACUGUACCACCAGGAGAAGCCCCGGCUAACUCCGUGCCAGCCGCCGCAGUAA